rnacentral:rRNA from 1 species
GAUGAACGCUGGCGGCGUGCCUGAUACAUGCAAGUCGAGCGAACAGACGAGGAGCUUGCUCCUCUGACGUUAGCGGCGGACGGGUGAGUAACACGUGGAUAACCUACCUAUAAGACUGGGAUAACUUCGGGAAACCGGAGCUAAUACCGGAUAAUAUAUUGAACCGCAUGGUUCAAUAGUGAAAGACGGUUUUGCUGUCACUUAUAGAUGGAUCCGCGCCGCAUUAGCUAGUUGGUAAGGUAACGGCUUACCAAGGCAACGAUGCGUAGCCGACCUGAGAGGGUGAUCGGCCACACUGGAACUGAGACACGGUCCAGACUCCUACGGGAGGCAGCAGUAGGGAAUCUUCCGCAAUGGGCGAAAGCUUGACGGAGCAACGCCGCGUGAGUGAUGAAGGUCUUCGGAUCGUAAAACUCUGUUAUUAGGGAAGAACAAAUGUGUAAGUAACUAUGCACGUCUUGACGGUACCUAAUCAGAAAGCCACGGCUAACUACGUG